AUACGGAGGGUCCAAGCGUUAUCCGGAAUCAUUGGGUUUGAAGGGUCCGCAGGCGGUCAAUUAAGUCAGAGGUGAAAGCCCAUCGCUCAACGAUGGAACUGCCUUUGAUACUGGUUGACUUGAGUUAUACGGAAGUAGAUAGAAUAAGUAGUGUAGCGGUGAAAUGCAUAGAUAUUACUUAGAAUACCGAUUGCGAAGGCAGUCUACUACGUAUAUUCUGACGCUGAGGGACGAAAGCGUGGGGAGCGAACAGGAUUAGAAACCCUAGUAGUCC
rnacentral:rRNA from 1 species